GCCUGGUUGGCUUAGUCAGUUACGCGUCUGACUUCGGCUCAGGUCAUGAUCUCACGGUUCGUGGGUUCGAGCCCCACGUCGGGCU
rfam:Felis catus isolate Cinnamon breed Abyssinian chromosome A1, whole genome shotgun sequence.